rnacentral:rRNA from 1 species
GACGAACGCUGGCGGCGUGCCUAAUACAUGCGAGUCGAGCGGACCGAACAGGAGCUUGCUCUUGUUCGGUUAGCGGCGGACGGGUGAGUAACACGUGGGUAACCUGCCCGUAAGACCGGGAUAACUCCGGGAAACCGGAGCUAAUACCGGAUAACACCGAAGACCGCAUGGUCUUUGGUUGAAAGGCGGCUUCGGCUGCCACUUACGGAUGGGCCCGCGGCGCAUUAGCUAGUUGGUGAGGUAACGGCUCACCAAGGCGACGAUGCGUAGCCGGCCUGAGAGGGUGACCGGCCACACUGGGACUGAGACACGGCCCAGACUCCUACGGGAGGCAGCAGUAGGGAAUCUUCCGCAAUGGACGAAAGUCUGACGGAGCGACGCCGCGUGAGCGAAGAAGGUCUUCGGAUCGUAAAGCUCUGUUGUUAGGGAAGAAGAAGCGUCGUUCGAACAGGGCGGCGCGGUGACGGUACCUAACGAGAAAGCCCCGGCUAACUACGUG